rnacentral:rRNA from 1 species
GUGCCAGCAGCCGCGGUAAUAACGUAGGGCGCAAGCGUUGUCCGGAAUUAUUGGGCGUAAAGAGCUCGUAGGCGGUUUGUCGCGUCUGCUGUGAAAGCCCGGGGCUCAACCCCGGGUCUGCAGUGGGUACGGGCAGACUAGAGUGCAGUAGGGGAGACUGGAAUUCCUGGUGUAGCGGUGAAAUGCGCAGAUAUCAGGAGGAACACCGAUGGCGAAGGCAGGUCUCUGGGCUGUUACUGACGCUGAGGAGCGAAAGCAUGGGGAGCGAACAGGAUUAGAUACCCUGGUAGUCC